rnacentral:rRNA from 1 species
UCCUAGCUUGCUAGGAGGCGUCGAGCGGCGGACGGGUGAGUAAUGCAUAGGAAUCUGCCCGGUAGUGGGGGAUAACUUGAGGAAACUCAAGCUAAUACCGCAUACGCCCUACGGGGGAAAGCAGGGGCUCUUCGGACCUUGCGCUAUCGGAUGAGCUUAUGUCGGAUUAGCUGGUUGGUGAGGUAACGGCUCACCAAGGCGACGAUCCGUAGCUGGUCUGAGAGGAUGAUCAGCCACAUCGGGACUGAGACACGGCCCGAACUCCUACGGGAGGCAGCAGUGGGGAAUAUUGGACAAUGGGGGCAACCCUGAUCCAGCCAUGCCGCGUGUGUGAAGAAGGCCCUCGGGUUGUAAAGCACUUUCAGCGAGGAAGAAUGCUUGUCGGUUAAUACCCGGCAAGGGAGACAUCACUCGCAGAAGAAGCACCGGCUAACUCCGUGCCAGCAGCCGCGGUAAUACGGAGGGUGCGAGCGUUAAUCGGAAUUACUGGGCGUAAAGCGUGCGUAGGCGGCUUGAUAAGCCGGUUGUGAAAGCCCCGGGCUCAACCUGGGAACGGCAUCCGGAACUGUUAGGCUAGAGUGCAGGAGAGGAAGG